CCUACGGGGGGCAGCAGUGAGGAAUAUUGGUCAAUGGGCGAGAGCCUGAACCAGCCAAGUCGCGUGAGGGAUGACUGCCCUAUGGGUUGUAAACUUCUUUUAUAUGGGAAUAAAACAGGGUAUGCAUACCCUCUUGUAUGUACCAUAUGAAUAAGGAUCGGCUAACUCCGUGCCAGCAGCCGCGGUAAUACGGAGGAUCCGAGCGUUCUCCGGAUUUAUUGGGUUUAAAGGGAGCGCAGGUGGAUUGUUAAGUCAGUUGUGAAAGUUAGCGGCUCAACCGAGACAUUGCAGUUGAAACUGGCAGUCUUGAUAACAGUAGAGGUGGGCGAAAUUCGUGGUGAAGCGGUG
rnacentral:rRNA from 1 species